AGAGUUUGAUCCUGGCUCAGGAUGAACGCUAGCGGCAGGCCUAACACAUGCAAGUCGAACGGUAAGGACCACUUCGGUGGUUACACGAGUGGCGCACGAGUGAGUAACGCGUAUGCAACCUACCCUUAACAGGGGGAUAGCCCGAAGAAAUUCGGAUUAAUACCCCAUAAUACUAUAGAUAAGCAUUUAUUUGUAGUAAAAACUCCGGUGGUUAAGGAUGGGCAUGCGUACCAUUAGAUAGUUGGUAAGGUAACGGCUUACCAAGUCUACGAUGGUUAGGGGGCCUGAGAGGGUGGUCCCCCACACUGGUACUGAGACACGGACCAGACUCCUACGGGAGGCAGCAGUGAGGAAUAUUGCGCAAUGGACGAAAGUCUGACGCAGCCAUGCCGCGUGCAGGAUGACGGCCCUACGGGUUGUAAACUGCUUUUAUACAGGAAGAAAACUUUCAACGUGUUGAGAGUUGACGGUACUGUAGGAAUAAGCAUCGGCUAACUCCGUGCCAGCAGCCGCGGUAAUACGGAGGACGCAAGCGUUAUCCGGAUUUAUUGGGUUUAAAGGGUGCGUAGGCGGAAUAAUAAGUCAGUGGUGAAAUCCUGCAGCUUAACUGUAGAACUGCCAUUGAUACUGUUAUUCUUGAAUAUAGUUGAGGUAGGCGGAAUGUGUAAUGUAGCGGUGAAAUGCAUAGAUAUUACACAGAACACCGAUUGCGUAGGCAGCUUACUAAGCUAUUAUUGACGCUGAGGCACGAAAGCGUGGGGAUCGAACAGGAUUAGAUACCCUGGUAGUCCACGCUGUAAACGAUGAUCACUAGCUGUUGGCGAUACACCGAUCAGCGGCAAAGCGAAAGCAUUAAGUGAUCCACCUGGGGAGUACGGUCGCAAGAUUGAAACUCAAAGGAAUUGACGGGGGCCCGCACAAGCGGAGGAACAUGUGGUUUAAUUCGAUGAUACGCGAGGAACCUUACCUGGGCUUAAAUGCAGGACGACGAACUGGGAAACCAGUUUUCUCUUCGGAGCGGACUGCAAGGUGCUGCAUGGUUGUCGUCAGCUCGUGCCGUGAGGUGUCGGGUUAAGUCCCAUAACGAGCGCAACCCCUAUCGUUAGUUGCCAGCGGAUCAUGCCGGGGGCUCUAACGAAACUGCCGGUGUAAACCGAGAGGAAGGUGGGGAUGACGUCAAAUCAGCACGGCCCUUAUGUCCAGGGCUACACACGUGUUACAAUGGUCGGUACAGAGGGUAGCUACUAUGUAAAUAGAUGCCAAUCUCGAAAACCGGUCUUAGUUCGGAUCGAAGUCUGCAACUCGACUUCGUGAAGCUGGAUUCGCUAGUAAUCGCGCAUCAGCCACGGCGCGGUGAAAACGUUCCCGGGCCUUGUACACACC
rnacentral:rRNA from 1 species